rnacentral:rRNA from 1 species
UGCCAGCCGCCGCGGUAAUACAGAGGGUGCAAGCGUUAAUCGGAUUUACUGGGCGUAAAGGGCGUGCAGGUGGUGAUGCAAGUCAGUUGUGAAAUACCGGGGCUCAACCCCGGGGGGUCAAUUGAAACUGCAUGACUGGAGUCGAAGAGAGGGCAGCGGAAUUUCCGGUGUAGCGGUGAAAUGCGUAGAUAUCGGAAAGAACACCAGUGGCGAAGGCGGCUGUCUGGCUUCAGACUGACACUGAGGCGCGAAAGCGUGGGUAGCGAACAGGAUUAGAUA